rnacentral:rRNA from 1 species
GAGUUUGAUCCUGGCUCAGAAUCACGCUGGCGGCGCGCUUAACACAUGCAAGUCGCACGAGAAAGGGAGCAAUCCUAAGUAAAGUGGCGCACGGGUGAGUAACACGUGGAUCAUCUACCUUUUAGUGGGGAAUACCUCUGGGAAACCGGAGACAAUACCGCAUAAGCCUGUAAAGGGAAAGCAGCAAUGCGCUGAAAGAGGAGUCCGCGGCCGAUUAGCUAGUUGGCGGGGUAAUGGCCCACCAAGGCGAAGAUCGGUAGCCGGCCUGAGAGGGCACACGGCCACACUGGCACUGAAACACGGGCCAGACUCCUACGGGAGGCAGCAGUGGGGAAUAUUGCGCAAUGGACGAAAGUCUGACACAGCGACGCCGCGUGUGGGAUGACGGUCUUCGGAUUGUAAACCACUGUCGGGAGGGACGAAUACGCCGCAAGGCGGGUGACGGUACCUCCAAAGGAAGCACCGGCUAACUCCGUGCCAGCAGCCGCGGUAAUACGGAGGGUGCGAGCGUUGUCCGGAAUCACUGGGCGUAAAGGGCGCGUAGGCGGCCUGAUAAGUAGGGGGUGAAAUCCUGCGGCUUAACCGCAGGGCUGCCUUCUAAACUGUCAGGCUCGAGCACAGUAGAGGCAGGUGGAAUUCCCGGUGUAGCGGUGGAAUGCGUAGAGAUCGGGAAGAACAUCAGUGGCGAAGGCGGCCUGCUGGGCUGUUGCUGACGCUGAGGCGCGACAGCGUGGGGAGCAAACAGGAUUAGAUACCCUGGUAGUCCACGCCGUAAACGUUGGGAACUAGGUGUGGGUCACAUUCCACGUGGUCCGCGCCGCAGCUAACGCAUUAAGUUCCCCGCCUGGGGAGUACGGCCGCAAGGCUAAAACUCAAAGGAAUUGACGGGGGCCCGCACAAGCAGCGGAGCAUGUGGCUUAAUUCGACGCAACGCGAAGAACCUUACCAAGGCUUGACAUAUACCGGAAACGUGCAGAGAUGUACGCCCCCUUGUGGUCGGUAUACAGGUGGUGCAUGGUUGUCGUCAGCUCGUGUCGUGAGAUGUUGGGUUAAGUCCCGCAACGAGCGCAACCCUCGUUCUGUGUUGCCAGCGGGUUAUGCCGGGGACUCACAGGAGACUGCCGGGGUCAACUCGGAGGAAGGUGGGGACGACGUCAAAUCAUCAUGCCCCUUAUGUCUUGGGCUGCACACGUGCUACAAUGGCCGGUACAAUGAGCUGCGAUACCGCGAGGUGGAGCGAAUCUCAAAAAGCCGGUCUCAGUUCGGAUUGGGGUCUGCAACUCGACCCCAUGAAGUCGGAGUUGCUAGUAUCGCAGAUCGCAUGCGCGAAG